rnacentral:ncRNA from 1 species
AAAAGACUUAGUCCUAACCUUACAGUUAGUUCCUACUAGAUUUAUACAUGCAAGUAUCUGCGCGCCAGUGUAAAUGCCCUUGACCUCUUACUAAGACUAGAGGUGCAGGCAUCAGGCACACUCCCAGUAGCCUAAGACGCCUUGCUCAGCCACACCCCCAUGGGUAUUCAGCAGUAAUUAACAUUAAGCAAUUAGCGCAAGCUUGACUUAGCCAUAGUAGCCCAGGGUUGGUAAAUCUUGUGCCAGCCACCGCGGUCACACAAGAGACCCAAAUUAACUGUAUCCGGCGUAAAGAGUGGCCCAUCAUCUAUCGCCCCUCGCUAGGGUCGAAGCGUAUCCAAGCUGUUAUAAGCCCAAGACACACCUAAGCCCAAUAUAAACACAACCCAAGCAUCAGCGACCAACUANCCGCCACGAAAGCCAGGGGACAAACUGGGAUUAGAUACCCCACUAUGCCUGGCCCUAAAUCCAGAUGCUUCCCUCCACCAAAGCAUCCGCCUGGGAACUACGAGCACAAACGCUUAAAACCCUAAGGACUUGGCGGUACUCCAAACCCACCUAGAGGAGCCUGUUCUAUAAUCGAUAACCCACGCUACACCCAACCCCUCCUCGUCUAAGCAGCCUAUAUACCGCCGUCGCCAGCCCACCUCAUAUGAAAGUACAACAGUGAGCACAAUAGCUCCACCCGCUAAGAAGACAGGUCAAGGUAUAGCCUAUGGAGGGGAAGAAAUGGGCUACAUUUUCUAUCUUAGAUCACCAACGAAAAGGGGUCUGAAAUUUACCCCUGGAAGGAGGAUUUAGCAGUAAAACAUGAUUAUAAUGCUUGUUUUAAACUGGCCCUGGAGCACGUACAUACCGCCCGUCACCCUCCUCGCAAGCAACACCACUUAUAAAUUAAUAUCACAACUGGCUGAAGAUGAGGUAAGUCGUAACAAGGUAAGUGUACCGGAAGGUGCACUUAGCAUAU